rnacentral:rRNA from 1 species
GAUGAACGCUGGCGGCGUGCCUAACACAUGCAAGUCGAGCGGCAGCGAGGGGUGCUUGCACCCUGUCGGCGAGCGGCGGACGGCUGAGUAACGCGUGGGAACGUGCCCCAAAGUGAGGAAUAACUGCCCGAAAGGGUAGCUAAUACCGCAUAUUAUCUUCGGCUCAAAGGAUUUAUCCGCUUUGGGAGCGGCUCGCGUCGGAUUAGGUAGUUGGUGAGGUAAUGGCUUACCAAGCCGACGAGCCGUAGCUGGUCUGAGAGGAUGACCAGCCAGACUGGAACUGAGACACGGUCCAGACUCCUACGGGAGGCAGCAGUGAGGAAUCUUCCACAAUGGGCGAAAGCCUGAUGGAGCAACGCCGCGUGCAGGACGAAGGCCUUCGGGUUGUAAACUGCUUUUAUAAGUGAGGAAUAUGACGGUAACUUAUGAAUAAGGAUCGGCUAACUACGUG